rnacentral:misc_RNA from 1 species
UUUCCGUAGGCGAACCUGCGGAAGGAUCAUUAUUGUAUAACCGAGGUGCGAGGGCUGUCGCUGACCCGAAAGGUCGUGCACGCCCGAGUGCCCUCACACAUCCAUCUCACCCCUAUGUGCACCACCGCGUGGGUCCCCCUUUGGCUUGUUCGGAGGGGGGCUUACGUUUUCACACAAACUUUGUAUGCAGUGUAGAAUGUAUUUUUUGUUUUUGCGAUCACGCAAUCAAUACAACUUUCAACAACGGAUCUCUUGGCUCUC